ACCGUUAGUUAUUUUAAAAUGGGUGUGGAAAAUAGUAUGAUCGAUUAUAGCUGCCUUACUGCGUUGUGAAAUAUUCUGUAUUGACGAUUUUUAUCGUACGGGAUGAUAGCUCAACUUCCUUCCUCCAACAUCCUUCCAUUGGGACUUCUGAAUUUGUAUAAAACGAGCACCUAGUAUAAAACUUCUCAUCGAAAUCCUCAUGAUAUGACAUUCAAGACAUCAAUGAAGACGAUAAAAGCAACUGCCACCAUGUCUACUGCAAUAUCCCCUACUAGAGGAUGUUAAUCCAAACUUGCCAAAGGUAAUUAAAGCAGUUCCAUCCAUAGAAUUUGAAUGGAUCAAAGAUGUUCCGAGAUUGCAUUUCUGUCCGGAGGUAUAUUGUGAAUUUGGAAUCUUGAAAUAGAUGUGCAGUAUCUGGAUGAACACAGAAGACUACAAGUAAACUUAAUGUAUACCACAAUGCCUCGCAUAUUUAGCGACCUGUAAUUGAUAAUGAACCAAAGUUCACUUCAUUGAACUUUUAAUGUUAUUAGGAAAUGAUUAGUAGGAAAUUAAUUGAAUUGGGAAAAAUUCUUAAAUUAAAAUGAUAGGUUUUAUAUGUAGGGGAACUUCAUUGAAUUCUUAAUUAUAUAAAUAUUAGCCUUGUUAGCCUAUAAAUUUAAUGAACAUUAUAUAAAUUUUCUGAAUCUCUUCAAAUGAAGCGGACAAAGUUACUCUUAACUAUCUUUUAUAUAUUUUGAGAUUACUGUUAAUAGUAUAUGCCCAAGCACCAUGUUUGAGGAAACAAUUUUGAAUCAAAAGUUAAGAAUUUUGGGAUCAGUCUCAAAUCUAAAUUUGGAUACUAAGCAUUGUAACUAAUCCACUUUGCAUUUUCGCGCUGUAUUACAAAAAUGAAUUUUUACUAAACUUGCAUCAUUUGGAGCUAGGGACGUUGUGUUAGAACGCACGAGGUUAUAACAGUCAUGCAUGUUAGUUGGAGACCAGCUGCAAUCGUGCGAAAGAGUAUUUCAGAAUUUUAAUUAGUUUCUUGUAACUACAAUUAAAAACUAAUUUCCUGAAACAAUCGUCGUUAUACAACUCAUUUAAUGUGCUUGCAAAAUGCGGUAUUACACGCAGAGUACUCCCUCAAAAUUGGUUAGGAACAUGUCGCGUUAAUCUCGCAGUUGCCUACUAUUGAUUCGGCUUGAGGGUUUUAACUUACAAGAGCUCCUGAAUUAUGGCUAGCCUUUCUUCUAAUCGAAUGCAGAAAUGACUUGAAGUGCAGAAGUUACAGCGUGACAUUAAAAUUCGUAUUCUAUGGUAAGUGUAAAUCUUGAUCAGCUCUCGAUAGUUGCAAAUGCCAAUGUUCGGAGUAGAAAUUGUGUUUAAUCUAUUUGCUAGGAAUAACUGCAGCAUUCCAACAAGGAUUCGGGUGUAGGGGAGGCCAGAAUGGAGGUUAACGCGUCAAUAUACGGGUCCCUGUAGACUUUCCUUUCAGGCUGUUCGGGACCGGCAGCCUGAAUGGAAAGCCUCGGUCCCCAGGGAUCCGGUAUUGAUCGCGUUAACGGGGGAUAGCAAUGGAGUAGGAAUUCCUUUGCUAAUCUAACGAACAAGGAGGGAUUUCAGCUGUC